rnacentral:rRNA from 1 species
GAUGAACGCUGGCGGCGUGCCUAAUACAUGCAAGUCGAGCGAACAGACGAGGAGCUUGCUCCUCUGACGUUAGCGGCGGACGGGUGAGUAACACGUGGAUAACCUACCUAUAAGACUGGAUAACUUCGGGAAACCGGAGCUAAUACCGGAUAAUAUAUUGAACCGCAUGGUUUAAUAGUGAAAGACGGUUUUGUUGUCACUUAUAGAUGGAUCCGCGCCGCAUUAGCUAGUUGGUAAGGUAACGGCUUACCAAGGCAACGAUGCGUAGCCGACCUGAGAGGGUGAUCGGCCACACUGGAACUGAGACACGGUCCAGACUCCUACGGGAGGCAGCAGUAGGGAAUCUUCCGCAAUGGGCGAAAGCCUGACGGAGCAACGCCGCGUGAGUGAUGAAGGUCUUCGGAUCGUAAAACUCUGUUAUUAGGGAAGAACAAAUGUGUAAGUAACUAUGCACGUCUUGACGGUACCUAAUCAGAAAGCCACGGCUAACUACGUG